CCACGCUGUCUUCGUGGAAAUAAACACCUCCCUGCCACAGGUGCUAAUGAGGCUUCAUCUCUUUGGCUCAGGGAGCUGCCUCAGGAGCCCUGGCAAACCCCUCGGCCUGCCUGCAGCCAAGGAAGGAGCAGCCACAGCUUAGCGCUGCUGGAAAGUAAUGAGGAGUGAGGUCAACCUGCCCAGCCCACGGGACAACUCACAGCUCGGCAUUAGAAAAGACACAGGCGAAGAUUUUUGAAAGUAUUUUCUGCUGAUAACGAAAAGGUUCCCACAGCCUUGCAGAGGAGGCAUCAGAACAGCACAAGCAAAUGUGUUUACAGCUUCACGCUUAAAUUUGAAACGUGUUUCUAACCUGACAUCUGUGUAUUUUCAGCCCUUUCCAAAGCUCUUGUUUUACUUUCUAUGGCUUCUGCUUCAUUAUUCUAAUUUAAUAAAGCCGCAGUGAAGGCAGAGUGCCGACUCUUUGUGGCUAAUGAAAG
rnacentral:lncRNA from 1 species